rnacentral:rRNA from 1 species
GAUCCUGGCUCAGGACGAACGCUGGCGGCGCGCCUAACACAUGCAAGUCGAACGGAGAUUACAGGCGGAAGUUUUCGGAUGGAAGCUUGUAAACUUAGUGGCGGACGGGUGAGUAACACGUGAGCAACCUGCCUAUCAGAGGGGGAUAACGAUUGGAAACGAUCGCUAAUACCGCAUGACAUAGCGGAACCGCAUGGUUUUGUUAUCAAAGAUUUUAUCGCUGAUAGAUGGGCUCGCGUUCG